rnacentral:lncRNA from 1 species
UAAAUUAUCCCUGUCAUAACUUCACGAAUGCCAUGGGCGGUAAGCGCUCAAUAAAUGCUAUUGAAUGAAUGAACGACAGCCCGAGAAGCAAACGAAUGGAUUUCGGAGCAAAUUAAACCGAAGUGGGCAGGGAAGCAGCGUGGCUCAGUGGAAAGAGCCUGGGCUUCGCAGUCAGAGGUCGUGGGUUCGACUCCCGGCUCUGCCACUCGUCAGCCGCGUGACUGCGGGCAAAUCACUUAACUUCUUCUGUGCCUCGGCCACGUCAUCCGUAAAACGGGGGUUAACCGCGAGCCUCACGUGGGACGACCCGAUGACCCCGUGUCUCCCCCAGCGCUUAGAACGGUGCUCGGCGCGUAGUGAGCGCUUAACAGAUACCAACAUCAUUAUUAUUAUUAUUCGGAAGGCCAAACGAUUUAGAUAAACGUAUUUUGGACGCACAGCCAGGAGGACUGGUUGCGUGGAGAAGACACUAAUGCUAGGCAGAGUCCAGGGAAAAGGAGGAAGAGGCAGACCGGCAGCUAGAUGGACAGAGAACACAACGAAGACAACGGAGGAACCAUUAGACAGGUUGCGGAUUCCGGCAGAGGACGGGACGUUCCGGAGAAAGUAUAUCCCUGGAGUCGCUCUGAAUGGGAAACGAAUCGAUGCCACUCAACACUAAUACUCUUCCCGGUUUUCUCUGGCAAAAAAAAAAAAUAAUAAUCCCUGAAGGAUGUCCUUAUUAUGCUGCUCAAGACUCGCAGGGUUUCACUCCAAAGGGGCAACUUUGCAACAGAAGAGUUCAUUGAUUAAUUGCUCACUCAAUUCGUUUAACAGUCUCGGGGACCUGCCGAGGAGGAGGAUUGGCAGUGGGAAGCCCGGGUGCGUCUCCACUGGGGGUGACUCGGAAUUCCCUUCCCGACGGUGGCACAGGCACUGCGAGGGACACAGUAAUCACAGCCGCUGGGAGAUGAGGUCACACGCCCUCAACCUUAUAACUGCUGCCCUGUCAGGCCCUCCGGAGUCGGCCGGACCAAGCGCUUCGUCCUGCAGCUCAGAUCAGCCGCGGCGCCAUACCAAGGACACUAUAUUAAGCGCUGCUUGACGACCACCGGCUUCUCCGCUGUCAUGAGAUCAUAACCGUGGUUGCUAUCCACUUAUCCAUUUCCUUUAUUUUCCCCCAGUAAAAUGGUCACGUACAACCCCUUGCUAUCUACCCAGAUUUCCCUGUCUAUCACCCGGAUCCUUCCUUUUCUCCUCUCCUGAUCCUCCCCAUCUACAAUAAGCUGGCCAUUAUUUAAAAUGAUGGUAUUGAUUAAGUGUUUCCUAGCUGUCCAGCACAGUGC